GACGAACGCUGGCGGCGUGCUUAACACAUGCACGUCGAGCGGAAAGGCCCUUCGGGGUACUCGAGCGGCGAACGGGUGAGUAACACGUGAGUAACCUGCCCCAGGCUUUGGGAUAACCCUCGGAAACGGGGGCUAAUACCGGAUAUGACUUGACCUCGCAUGGGGUUGGGUGGAAAGUUUUUCGGCUUGGGAUGGGCUCGCGGCCUAUCAGCUUGUUGGUGGGGUGGUGGCCUACCAGGGCGACGACGGGUAGCCGGGCUGAGAGGGCGACCGGCCACACUGGGACUGAUACACGGCCCAGACUCCGACGGGAGGCAGCAGUGGGGAAUAUUGCACAAUGGGCGGAAGCCUGAUGCAGCGACGCCGCGUGAGGGAUGACGGCCUUCGGGUUGUAAACCUCUUUCAGCAGGGACGAAGCGUGAGUGACGGUACCUGCAGAAGAAGCACCGGCCAACUACGUGCCAGCAGCCGCUGUAACAC
rnacentral:rRNA from 1 species